UAUAAUUUUGGAAAUAUUGGAGUCCCUAAGAUCCACCAUUCAUUUUUAAAUAAAUCCAAAGGCUGAGAUUUAAGGACUAAAAAAAACGGCUGACAGUUACUACUCGUUUUUGAAAGCUUUUACGCGCACGACUCUGCAAGUUUCAUCCCGCAUCAACCGGUGAAGGACACAGCAACGCUAUCAUCAAUCCCCCUCUUUCACGGUGUUUCUCGGUAUUUGUAGAGCGAUCUCAAUAGCGGAGCUUAUUGUGCAGAACAAGGCAAAGUUGGGCGAAAAUGAGCUCUGAACGGUAGAGACGUAACUCAACGACCGAUGAGGGGUUUGCAGGACGCAUCAAUUUUGUUCGAAGUCUAGUUAUGAGUCGAUAAUGCUUGUCCUUAUGAAGUGCAAGAAAAACACCAUGGACAGAAGGACUAGAGUAGACGCUUAGUAUAGAAAGGAUGAUCGAAAAUUCUUGUUAAACAAGCUGCAGAUUUAUAGUCAUCGCUUAGUGACAUGGCGCUACAAUGAGAAGAUGAAGCUAGUACUAGACGGUAUCAACCACAUUGCUAGAAAUGAAGAAACAAAUGGGGUAAAGGAAUGAUGACAUCCCUACCGAUUAAGUUAAAAAAAAAAUACAUAAUCUGAAAGACUAAGUUCUAUGUAUUAGUUUGCUCGUUUUAUGAUACUGCAGUUUUAGGACUGUGUAAGACGGAAUCUCUUGAAUUUGUUAACUGUGAUUUGGAUUUGGAAUGCUAUGACAUAUAAUGGACUUAUUGUCAUUGUUUGGCUGAAUUAGUAGACUGAUAAUACAUUACUUCUGGGUGCCUAAAUUCGGAGAUAUUGCGGUGAACAACCUUCAUGUUCUGCGAUCUGGAUGUUCUGCAUUUGAAUGACUACGUUCCUCCUUAUCUUGACUUCCAUGAUAUUUGAAAAUA